UGGAGUCGGCCUACAGUGCAAGAAGAACGGUAGCACAGAGAGCUUGCUCCCGGGUGACGAGUGGCGGACGGGUGAGUAAUGUCUGGGAAACUGCCUGAUGGAGGGGGAUAACUACUGGAAACGGUAGCUAAUACCGCAUAACGUCGCAAGACCAAAGUGGGGGACCUUCGGGCCUCAUGCCAUCAGAUGUGCCCAGAUGGGAUUAGCUAGUAGGUGGGGUAAAGGCUCACCUAGGCGACGAUCCCUAGCUGGUCUGAGAGGAUGACCAGCCACACUGGAACUGAGACACGGUCCAGACUCCUACGGGAGGCAGCAGUGGGGAAUAUUGCACAAUGGGCGCAAGCCUGAUGCAGCCAUGCCGCGUGUAUGAAGAAGGCCUUCGGGUUGUAAAGUACUUUCAGCGGGGAGGAAGGCGUUAAGGUUAAUAACCUUGGUGAUUGACGUUACCCGCAGAAGAAGCACCGGCUAACUCCGUGCCAGCAGCCGCGGUAAUACGGAGGGUGCAAGCGUUAAUCGGAAUUACUGGGCGUAAAGCGCACGCAGGCGGUCUGUUAAGUCAGAUGUGAAAUCCCCGGGCUCAACCUGGGAACUGCAUUUGAAACUGGAGGCUUGAGUCUUGUAGAGGGGGGUAGAAUUCCCGGUGUACCGGUGAAAUGCCCCUGGACAAAGACUGACGCUCAGGUGCGAAAGCGUGGGAGCAAACAGGAUUAGAUACCCUGGUAGUCCACGCUGUAAACGAUGUCGACUUGGAGGUUGUUCCCUUGAGGAGUGGCUUCCGGAGCUAACGCGUUAAGUCGACCGCCUGGGGAGUACGGCCGCAAGGUUAAAACUCAAAUGAAUUGACGGGGGCCCGCACAAGCGGUGGAGCAUGUGGUUUAAUUCGAUGCAACGCGAAGAACCUUACCUACUCUUGACAUCCAGAGAACUUAGCAGAGAUGCUUUGGUGCCUUCGGGAGCUCUGAGACAGGUGCUGCAUGGCUGUCGUCAGCUCGUGUUGUGAAAUGUUGGGUUAAGUCCCGCAACGAGCGCAACCCUUAUCCUUUGUUGCCAGCGGUCCGGCCGGGAACUCAAAGGAGACUGCCAGUGAUAAACUGGAGGAAGGUGGGGAUGACGUCAAGUCAUCAUGGCCCUUACGAGUAGGGCUACACACGUGCUACAAUGGCAUAUACAAAGAGAAGCGACCUCGCGAGAGCAAGCGGACCUCAUAAAGUAUGUCGUAGUCCGGAUUGGAGUCUGCAACUCGACUCCAUGAAGUCGGAAUCGCUAGUAAUCGUAGAUCAGAAUGCUACGGUGAAUACGUUCCCGGGCCUUGUACACACCGCCCGUCACACCAUGGGAGUGGGUUGCAAAAGAAAUUGUAAGCUUAACUUCCACUGGACCAAGUCGUAACAAGGAACCCAAGAGCC
rnacentral:rRNA from 1 species